ACGCGCUGCUGGCGUUUUGGACAUUAUUACCGUUGGACGUUGCAUUUACAAAAAUGCCCCUAAUAUCUCACGCAAACUCACACAAACUCAUCAGUUCUCUCACACUCACCCAUCUCAUCUCUCUGCUCUUCACUCCGCAUGCCCUCACCCCCACGCCUCCCAGCCUCGCUUGUAUUUCUGCGCUCUGCUCCGUGGUAGAGAUUUGCUACCAAAACACCAAGCAACACUGAUCUGCUACCAAAAACCACCAGG